UACGUAGGGUGCAAGCGUUGUCCGGAAUUAUUGGGCGUAAAGAGCUCGUAGGCGGUCUGUCGCGUCGGAUGUGAAAAUCCAGGGCUCAACCCUGGACCUGCAUUCGAUACGGGCAGACUAGAGUUCGGUAGGGGAGACUGGAAUUCCUGGUGUAGCGGUGAAAUGCGCAGAUAUCAGGAGGAACACCGGUGGCGAAGGCGGGUCUCUGGGCCGAUACUGACGCUGAGAAGCGAAAGCAUGGGGAGCGAACAGG
rnacentral:rRNA from 1 species